rnacentral:lncRNA from 1 species
AUUUUUGAAAAUAUCUCUUUAGUGGUGGUAAACAUCAAUAAUGGUACCAACAAAAUGGUAAACAUGAAAACUCCCCAUUUUUAUUUCUACACAUGGUAUAUGAAAGCACCUAGUAAUUAUUAAAAUCCUAACACUAUCUUCCAAAACCCCACCCCUCGACUUUAAACCCUAAAACUAAUAACCCUAUAGUUAUAAGUGUCUAAUUACCUUUUUAAAGUGAUGGUAAAUAUGUUUAACGUAAACAUGAAAAAUAGUAUUAAGAACUUAGAGUUUACACAAUCUCUCCUUUAAGAGUUCCCACUAUCUCCUCCGGAUUCCAAAAAAAGAUUAUUACUACAAGUAUGACAACUUUCAUCUUAGUCAUCUUUCCAUGGGGCAAUUUUCUCACCCGCUAUUCCGAAGAAUUCAAACAACGAUGACAAACUGCCAGAUGCAGCUUCCCGAU